CCUACGGGAGGCAGCAGUGGGGAAUAUUGCGCAAUGGGCGAAAGCCGGACGCAGCGACGCCGCGUGAGGGAUGAAGGUCUUAGGAUCGGAAACCUCUGUCAGCAGGGAAGAACGGUCACUGAGCUAAUCAGCAGUGAAUGGACGGUACCUGCAAAGGAAGCACCGGCUAACUCCGUGCCAGCAGCCGCGGUAAUACGGAGGGUGCGAGCUUUAAUCGGAAUGACUGGGAGGAAAGCGCUCGUAGGCGGUAUGUCAAGGCAAGGGUGACAUCCCCGCGCUCAACGUGGGAACUGCCUUUGCAACUGGCAAACUGGAGUGUGUGUGAGGCUAG
rnacentral:rRNA from 1 species